CCCUUAGAUGUCCUGGGCCGCACGCGCGUUACACUGAUGCAUUCAACGAGCUUAUAACCUUGGCCGAGAGGCCUGGGCAAUCUUGUUAACGUGCAUCGUGAUAGGGAUAGAUUAUUGAAAUUAUUAAUCUUGAACGAGGAAUUCCUAGUAAACGCAGAUCAUCAAUCUGCAUUGAUUACGUCCCUGCCCUUUGUACACACCGCCCGUCGCACCUACCGAUUGGAUGUUCCGGUGAAGCCUCGGGAUGAGGACUGGUGCCUUUAUUGGCAUGAGUUGUUCAGAACUUGUCUAAACCUUAUCAUCUAGAGGAAGGUGAAGUCGUAACA
rnacentral:rRNA from 1 species